CAAUAGCGUAUAUUAAAGUUGUUGCAGUUAAAAAGCUCGUAGUUGGAUUUCUGGUUUGGACGUCCGGUCCGCUUACUAUGUAAGUGCGUACUAUGGAUGUUUGGAUCAUUUUUUGUGAGGAAAUUCUUCUGCCAUUAAGUUGGUGGUUUUAUGGACUCACAUCGUUUACUGUGAAAAAAUUAGAGUGUUUAAAGCAGGCGUUUGCUCAUUUGAAUACAUUAGCAUGGAAUAAUAAGAUACGACCUUGGUGGUCUAUUUUGUUGGUUUGCACGCCAGGGUAAUGAUUAAUAGGGACAGUUGGGGGUAUUUAUAUUUCAGCGUCAGAGGUGAAAUUCUUGGAUCGCUGAAAGAUAAGCUUAGGCGAAAGCAUUUACCAAGGAUGUUUUCAUUAA
rnacentral:rRNA from 1 species